UGGGGAAUUUUGCGCAAUGGGCGAAAGCCUGACGCAGCAACGCCGCGUGAGGGAUGAAAUAUUUCGGUAUGUAAACCUCGCAAAUAUGGGAAGAACACAAUGACGGUACCAUAUGUAAGCCACGGCUAACUUCGUGCCAGCAGCCGCGGUAAUACGAAGGUGGCAAGCGUUGUUCGGAAUCACUGGGCAUAAAGCGCACGUAGGCCGUCCACUAAGUCGAAUGUGAAAUACCCCGGCUCAACCGGGGAACUGCAUCCGAUACUGGUGGACUCGAGGAUGGUUGGGGUGAGUGGAACUCCAGGUGGAGCGGUGAAAUGCGUAGAUAUCUGGAGGAACACCGGUGGCGAAAGCGGCUCACUGGACCAUCUCUGACGCUGAGGUGCGAAAGCUAGGGGAGCAAACGGGAUUAGAUACCCCCGUAGUCCCUGAGCGGGCUGGCAAGGCGCAU
rnacentral:rRNA from 1 species